ensembl:snRNA LOC120100113 U4 spliceosomal RNA
AGCUUUGCGCAGUGGCAGUAUCGUAGCCAAUGAGGUUUAUCCGAGGCGCGAUUAUUGCUAAUAAACUUAUCAUCCCUUAGACUCAACACUGAGCAAAUGAACAAUGAUCAAACGGGAAAGGUCUGCUCUCUCAUAAAAUGUAGGAGC